GUUAAAUUUAUUAACUAAUUGAUUAUUUUAUUUUUGUUGAAGCAAGAGAAAAUAUUAGCUGUUUAAAUUUUUUUUAUUAGUUUUAAAAAUAAUAAAAAAUGUUUUUAAGUGAUUAGGGAUUAAAUUAACAAUUGUAUUAUUUAUUAUUAUAAGUUUUUUGAAUAUUAUUUUGAUUUUUUGUUGUUUAAAAAUAUUUUUUAUAAUUUUUAUUUUUUUUAUUUUUUUAAAAAAAAAAUAAUUUAAUUAUAAUUAUUUAUUUAAAUUUAAUAAUUAACUAUAAAAUUUUUUAUUAAAUAAAUUUAAUAAUAAAUGUUUUUUAAAUUCUUUGAGGAUUUGA
rnacentral:rRNA from 1 species